rnacentral:rRNA from 1 species
GACGAACGCUGGCGGCGUGCUUAACACAUGCAAGUCGAACGGAAAGGCCUGGCUUUUUUGGGGUGCUGAAGUGGCAAACGGGUAGGUACCACGGGGUUAGCCUCCCCUUGACUUUGGGAUACCUCCAGGAAACUGGGGUUAAUACCGGAAAGGAGUUCCUCUUCCAUGGUGGGGUUGGGAAAGUUUGGGCGGUUGGGGAUGGACCGGCGGCUGAUCAGCUUGUUGGUGGGGAAGUGGCUUACCAAGGCUUUGACGGGUAGCCGGCCGGAGAGGGUGACCGGCCACAUUGGGACUGAGAUACGGCCCAGACUCCUACGGGAGGCAGCAGUGGGGAAUAUUGCACAAUGGGCGGAAGCCUGAUGCAGCAACGCCGCGUGCGGGAUGACGGCCUUCGGGUUGUAAACCGCUUUCGCCUGUGACGAAGCGUGAGUGACGGUAAUGGGUAAAGAAGCACCGGCUAACUACGUG